AUGGCGAAGACCGCGGGCAACAAGGCGCAGCACCCCUGCUGCAGCAUCUGCGCGGAGCCGACGGCGCCGUCGGACUUCCACCGCGGCGGCAGCGCCUGCGCGCACGCCUUCUGCGGGGCGUGCAUCACGGGCCACGUCCGCGCCAGGCUCGAGUCCGGCCCCGGCGCCGCCGCCGCCGUGCGGUGCCUGUACGCGUCCUGCGGCGGCAAGCUCGACCCGGAGCUGUGCCGCGCCGCGCUCCCGGCCGACGUGUUUGAGCGGUGGUGCGCCGCGCUGUGCGAGUCCAUGUUCGUCGGCGCGCGCAGGACCUACUGCCCCUUCCCCGACUGCUCGGAGAUGAUGGUGGCCGACGACGAGGACGAGGAGGAGGACGACGAGGAGGGUGAGGGUGGGAAGCCCGUGACGCAGUCGGAGUGCCAGGUGUGCCGGCGGCUGUUCUGCGCCCAGUGUGCCGUGCCGUGGCACGCGGACGUCGACUGCGCCGCGUACAAGAGAGGGGACAGGAGCAGGGAGGACCUGAUGCUGAUGGAGAUGGCCAGAGAGAAGAAGUGGAGGCGGUGCCCCAAGUGCGACUUCUUCGUGGCAAAACGGGAUGGCUGA
rnacentral:rRNA from 1 species